AAAUACCCUUGACUUGCAUCCCUGUACUGUAAGAUUCAAAACAAUUCUAACCUAACCUUGGGAGUAGGAGUUAGGUAGCAUAUUAGCUUUGCAUACCAAUUUUGAGACACUGACUGUUCAUUUCUGAUAAAUAUAUGAUGCCUGCUAUUAUUUAUAAGGUUAUAGUUUCCAGAAACCCCUAAAUGACCGACUCUUCCAUGCCUGAGAUGACCCGCCCUGCCCUGCGUCAUGACCUCCCGGCAUACAUUGAAACCGUGCGCUGAAUGGGUGACUUUUCAAUGCUGGAGGUCCACUCCCUGACCCCUGCCCUGCCCAGCCGCGCAUGUCACGACCUGCCCCUGCGUCAGUUGAGCGGUGGCACUGCCCGACACUUCCUCAAGAAGGCUCUCCUGCCCCUGACUGGCUGGUGUGACAGUCUGCUGCUUCUUGGUGAGUGUAAGAUGUCCGGCUAAGGAAACGCAGGGCGUGUGUGCUCCCGUGUGGGAAGUGAGCUAUUUCCAGCCAGCUGGCAAGCCUGUCGGCGUAGGCCAUGUACAUGUGUCCUUCGUGCUGGAACAUGUCGGCCACCGUCUGCUGGAACGGGUACUCAGGGGGCGGCGUCAUCGCCAGUGUUUCUGCGGGCUGCGAUGGGGGGCGUGUUUCGCA